GAUGAAGAACGUAGCGAAAUGCGAUACUUGGUGUGAAUUGCAGAAUCCCGUGAACCAUCGAGUCUUUGAACGCAAGUUGCGCCUGAAGCCUCGGCUAAGGGCACGUCUGCCUGGGCGUCACGCAUCGCGUCUCCCCCAAACCGCCAAGGCGGAGGGGAAGGAAGAUGGCUUCCCGUGCCUCACCCGGCGCGGUUGGCCUAAAUUUGGAGCCCGCGGCACUUAGCUCACGCGGCGAUAGGUGGUGAACAAGGCCUUGGCCGUGCAAACAACCCGCUGCGAAGCUCUAUGUCACGUGCGCUCGUCGGACCCUUUGAAGUUGCCUUCGGUGACUUAAAACCUUUGCGACCCCAGGUCAGGCGGGGCUACCCGCUGAAUUUAAGCAUAUCAAUAAGCGGAGUA
rnacentral:misc_RNA from 1 species